rnacentral:rRNA from 1 species
CUGUACACAGGAAUAGCCUCGGGAAACUGGGAUUAAAACCGGAUAACACUUUCUGGCCGCAUGGCCGGGAAGUCAAAUUGAUUUAGAGGUACAGGAUGAGUUCGCGUCUGAUUAGCUAGUUGGUGAGGUAACGGCUCACCAAGGCGACGAUCAGUAGCCGGCCUGAGAGGGUGAACGGCCACACUGGAACUGAGACACGGUCCAGACUCCUACGGGAGGCAGCAGUGGGGAAUAUUGCACAAUGGAGGAAACUCUGAUGCAGCGACGCCGCGUGAGUGAAGAAGGUCUUCGGAUCGUAAAACUCUGUCCUUGGUGACGAAAAAAUGACGGUAGCCAAGGAGGAAGCCCCGGCUAACUACGUGCCAGCAGCCGCGGUAAUACGUAGGGGGCGAGCGUUGUCCGGAUUUACUGGGCGUAAAGGGUGAGUAGGCGGUAAUAUGUGUCAGAUGUAAAAGGCUAUGGCUUAACCAUAGUUAGCAUUUGAAACUGUAUUACUUGAGUGCAGGAGAGGUAAGUGGAAUUCCUAGUGUAGCGGUGAAAUGCGUAGAUAUUAGGAGGAACACCAGUGGCGAAGGCGACUUACUGGACUGUAACUGACGCUGAGUCACGAAAGCGUGGGUAGCAAACAGGAUUAGAUACCCUGGUAGUCCACGCUGUAAACGAUGAGUGCUAGGUGUUGGGUAGCGAUAUUCAGUGCCGAAGUAAACACAAUAAGCACUCCGCCUGGGGAGUACGGUCGCAAGACUGAAACUCAAAGGAAUUGACGGGGACCCGCACAAGCAGCGGAGCAUGUGGUUUAAUUCGAAGCAACGCGAAGAACCUUACCAAGGCUUGACAUCCCCUUGACCGGCACAGAGAUGUGCCCUCUCCUUCGGGAGCAAGGGUGACAGGUGGUGCAUGGUUGUCGUCAGCUCGUGUCGUGAGAUGUUGGGUUAAGUCCCGCAACGAGCGCAACCCUUAUCCUUAGUUGCCAGCAGGUUAAGCUGGGCACUCUAAGGAGACUGCCGAUGAUAAAUCGGAGGAAGGUGGGGAUGACGUCAAAUCAUCAUGCCCCUUAUGUCUUGGGCUACACACGUGCUACAAUGGUCGGUACAAAGGGCAGCGAAGGAGUGAUCUGGAGCGAAUCCCAAUAAACCGAUCCCAGUUCGGAUUGUAGGCUGCAACUCGCCUACAUGAAGUCGGAGUUGCUAGUAAUCGCGAAUCAGAACGUCGCGGUGAAUGCGUUCCCGGGUCUUGUACACACCGCCC